rnacentral:rRNA from 1 species
CGCGUAGGCUGCGGGGCAAGUCGGGUGUGAAAUCUCAGGGCUCAACCCUGAAACUGCACUCGAUACUGCUCUGCUUGAGGACUGGAGAGGAGACUGGAAUUCACGGUGUAGCAGUGAAAUGCGUAGAGAUCGUGAGGAAGACCAGUGGCGAAGGCGGGUCUCUGGACAGUUCCUGAGCUGGGCGCGAAGGCCAGGGGAGCAAACG